rnacentral:rRNA from 1 species
AGCGAACGCUGGCGGCAGGCUUAACACAUGCAAGUCGAACGGGCAUCUUCGGAUGUCAGUGGCAGACGGGUGAGUAACACGUGGGAACGUACCCUUCGGUUCGGAAUAACUCAGGGAAACUUGAGCUAAUACCGGAUACGCCCUUUUGGGGAAAGGUUUACUGCCGAAGGAUCGGCCCGCGUCUGAUUAGCUUGUUGGUGGGGUAACGGCCUACCAAGGCGACGAUCAGUAGCUGGUCUGAGAGGAUGAUCAGCCACACUGGGACUGAGACACGGCCCAGCCCCCCAGGGGGGGCAGCAGGGGGGAAUUUUGGAAAAGGGGCCAAAGCCUAACCCCCCCCUGCCGGGUGAGUGAUGAAGGCCUUAGGGUUGUAAAGCUUUUUUGUCCGGGACGAUAAUGCCGGUCCCGGAAAAAUAACCCCCGGCUACCUUCGU